rnacentral:tRNA from 1 species
GCCCUGGCUCAGUGGACAGAGCGUCAGCCUGCGGCUGAAAGGACCGGGGUUCGAUUCCGGUCAAGGGCA